rnacentral:lncRNA from 1 species
AUUAUCCUCUCAUUUUGACAAUAAAGCAAAAUAAAAUUUAAUUUAACUACAAUUUAUUACAAAUAAAAAAAAUUAUUUAAUUCAAUUGAAUAAUAUUUAAUUGAUUUUACUAAAUUUUUAGUCUAAAUAAUAUUUAAUUAAUUUUGAAAUAUAAUAAGGGAAUUUAUGAAAUAGAAUUAGUAAUUGACCAUUGAAUACUUAAGAGGNUAUAUAUAUAUAUAUGAGCUAGGCUUCUAUACUUUCGAAAGUACGGAAGCCUUCGUACUUGUAAGUUAUUUUUAAUAAUGGAAUAUCGGAUUCGGCAAUCGGUUCCGUUAAACAUGAUCUACGUUAUUAGAACUACCGAGAAACCAAAUUUCAUAAUUUUUUGACUUCUUUUGUUUAGUAAACGAGUAGCCUCAAAAUGAACGGCUAAAAAUAAAAAUCUCAUAAAAAACAGUGAUAAAGGACUCAAAUUUCAAAUCGGAAGUAUUGGUCUUGCUAUUGAUGUUAAGUAGAAUUUUCUAUUAAAUUUUCAUCUAAUUUGGAUACUUCUACACCGUUGAACUUAAAAACGUGUCACAUCGGUCGUUAAAAUAGUCAUUUUUGAGACAUUUUGAUCGCUUGGUAAAUGAUGUCAAAAAAUUAUAAAAUUUAGUUUCUAAAUAGUUCCAAUAGGAUAGAUUAUACUUAACAAAACCGAUCGUCGAAUCGGAUUUUCUACCAUCGAAAAUAACUUACAAGUACGGAGGUCUCCGUACUUUCGAAAGUAUAGGAGACUUACUCAUAUAUAUAUAUAUACUUGUCAUAGUGCACGUGCAAUGCACAUCACAUUAAAUCAAAUAAAAUUUAUAUUUAUAUUUUAAAUUUAAAUAGUUAUUGUGGUAUGAGUCUAUUU